rnacentral:rRNA from 1 species
AAUAGAUACCCAGGUAGUCCACGCCGUAAACGUUGGGCACUAGGUGUGGGUCUCAACCAACGAGAUCCGUGCCGCAGCUAACGCAUUAAGUGCCCCGCCUGGGGAGUACGGCCGCAAGGCUAAAACUCAAAGGAAUUGACGGGGGCCCGCACAAGCGGCGGAGCAUGUUGCUUAAUUCGAGGCAACGCGAAGAACCUUACCUGGGUUUGACAUUCUGGGAAAAGCCGUAGAGAUACGGUGUCCGAAAGGGUCCAGAACAGGUGGUGCAUGGCUGUCGUCAGCUCGUGUCGUGGGAUGUUGGGUUAAGUCCCGCAACGAGCGCAACCCUUGUCCUAUGUUGCCAGCACGUAAUGGUGGGGACUCGUAGGAGACUGCCGGGGUCAACUCGGAGGAAGGUGGGGACGACGUCAAGUCAUCAUGCCCCUUAUGUCCAGGGCUGCAAACAUGCUACAAUGGCCGGUACAAAGGGCUGCUAUACCGCGAGGUUGAGCGAAUCCCAAAAAGCCGGUCUCAGUUCGGAUUGGAGUUGCUAGUAAUCGCGAAU